UUGUAAUUUGUAGAGGAUGCUUUUGGUGCGGUGCCUUCCGAGUUCCCUGGAACGGGACGCCUUAGAGGGUGAGAGCCCCGUACGGUUGGACGCCUAGCCUCUGUAAAGCUCCUUCGACGAGUCGAGUAGUUUGGGAAUGCUGCUCUAAAUGGGAGGUAUAUUUCUUCUAAAGCUAAAUACUGGCCAGAGACCGAUAGCGCACAAGUAGAGUGAUCGAAAGAUGAAAAGCACUUUGAAAAGAGGGUUAAAUAGCACGUGAAAUUGUUGAAAGGGAAGCGUUUAUCACCAGACUUUUUCUAGGGGGAUCAUCCGGUGUUCUCACCGGUGCACUUCCCCUAGUUGAGGCCAGCAUCGGUUUUCGGAGGGGGAUAAAAGUUUCGGGAAUGUGACUCCCCCGGGAGUGUUAUAGCCCGUUACAUAAUACCCUUCUGGGGACCGAGGUUCGCGCAUCUGCAAGGAUGCUGGCAUAAUGGUGAUCAACGACCCGUCUUGAAA
rnacentral:rRNA from 1 species